rnacentral:lncRNA from 1 species
CAGAAAAAGCCAGCUACCUUCCCGCUAGCCAUGAUUGGCUAAGAUAAUGAGUCGGCUGGACAUGCCGAGAGAUGAGCUUGAAUUGGUCUGCCAUAUAGCACGCUUCUGUCUAUUUGAACAGCAUCAGUAGAACACGCCUGACUCUCCUCCACCAGUCAUACAAGGAGAAUGGUCUCCCAUCAUUGCUUCCCAUCAAAAAGAGAGCUGGCCCAUGCAAGCACAGGUUACACCUGAAGCAUGAGGAUUUGCAGCGAGUGAACUUCAUCAACAACAACUACGCAGAGGAUAAUGCAAUAAAUAGUAUUACCAGUACGCCAUCCAGAACACAAACACUUGGUGGAAAGCUGCUGCCAUCCAAUGUGACGACAAGCAGCGGUGUGGUGUCUCUACAAGGAAUCAAUGACAAUACUUGCUUCGAUGCUCUGGAGCCUGGUGUUGUCGCCAAGGAGUGUUCGGACUCCGUCGGGACCAGGUUUCAGCUGCUGCGCAACGCUGAUAUCCUUCCUCCCAUAGAUGGUCUCCCUGUACAAGCACCACCUGGACUGGGCACAGCUAGUCAAACUUAUCUUUUUGGGGAGAUCAGGGAGUUUUGCGACGAAGAGGCUAUGGACAUCACAUUUCCUGCUCCAAUGUCAAGGGCAGAACAGAAACAGCCUCUCCGAAUAUAGAUUAUCUUGUUCAUGCGUGGUUCGGAUGCGCCAGUUCAUCACUGGGGGCGAGUUCCCAGUCAUCAGCACUAUCUGCAGUGCCUCUAUUCAAAUGACUCUCGCCUAACACACUGUUGCUGCUUCAAUUUUUUUAUCCUGCUGCUCAACCACUUUACCCCUGAUUGUAUGCAUAUAACUACCUCAUCAAUCACUGAUAUCGUUAUUGUUCUUGUACAUACUCAAUAUUAUUUUCUUUAUUGACACAAUCUGUUUCUGAUAUUGCUACUUUGCAAGUAACCAUUCCGGUGUACCGUUUACACCUUCUGUACAGACCCAUCCACUUAGCAAGAUGUUGCUAUUACAUCUAUUAAUGUAACGAUGGAUUGUUGUUUAUCUUUGCUUAUUUGAGCUAUUCUUGCCAUAAUAUGGACCCAGCCCUAUUUGGUAAAAUACCAUCUGAGAUUCAG